rnacentral:misc_RNA from 1 species
UCCAUCUAAAACCAGGUGCGGUCGCGGCCUCCAGGUGAUAACCUGGGUGGUUUCGCGCCGCAUUCCUGCACCCUUUUUUUACGAGCACCUUUGUUCUCCUUCGGCGGGGCAACCUGCCGCUGGAACUUGAUAAAACCUUUUUUUGCAUCUAGCCUUACUUGUCUGAUUAAAUAAUCGUA